UACGUAGGGGGCAAGCGUUGUCCGGAAUCAUUGGGCGUAAAGCGCGCGUAGGCGGCCCGGUAAGUCCGCUCUGAAAGUCCAGGGCUUAACCCUGGAAAGCGGGUGGAUACUGCCGGGCUUGAAUCCGGAAGAGGCGAGUGGAAUUCCUGGUGUAGCGGUGGAAUGCGCAGAUAUCUGGAGGAACACCGGUGGCGAAGGCGGCAUCCUGGACCGAUACUGACGCUGAGGAGCGAAAGCCAGGGGAGCAAACGGG
rnacentral:rRNA from 1 species